UCCCCAACAGCUCAGUUGGUAGAGCAGGAGACUCUUAAUCUCAGGAUUGUGGGUUUGAGCCCCGCUUUUGGGUAA